UAGGGAAUCUUCAGCAAUGGACGGAAGUCUGACCGAGCAACGCCGCGUGAGUGAAGAAGGUUUUCGGAUCGUAAAGCUCUGUUGUAAGAGAAGAACGAGUGUGAGAGUGGAAAGUUCACACUGUGACGGUAUCUUACCAGAAAGGGACGGCUAACUACGUGCCAGCAGCCGCGGUAAUACGUAGGUCCCGAGCGUUGUCCGGAUUUAUUGGGCGUAAAGCGAGCGCAGGCGGUUAGAUAAGUCUGAAGUUAAAGGCUGUGGCUUAACCAUAGUACGCUUUGGAAACUGUUUAACUUGAGUGCAAGAGGGGAGAGUGGAAUUCCAUGUGUAGCGGUGAAAUGCGUAGAUAUAUGGAGGAACACCGGUGGCGAAAGCGGCUCUCUGGCUUGUAACUGACGCUGAGGCUCGAAAGCGUGGGGAGCAAACAGGAUUAGAUACCCUGGUAGUCCACGCUGUAAACGAUGAGUGCUAGGUGUUAGACCCUUUCCGGGGUUUAGUGCCGUAGCUAACGCAUUAAGCACUCCGCCUGGGGAGUACGACCGCAAGGUUG
rnacentral:rRNA from 1 species